rnacentral:rRNA from 1 species
ACGCACGCUGGCGGCGUGCUUCACACCUGCAAGUCGAACGGAAAGGCCCUGCUUGCCGGGUACUCGAGUGGCGAACGGGUGAGUAACACGUGGGUGAUCUGCCCUGCACUUCGGGAUAAGCCUGGGAAACUGGGUCUAAUACCGGAUAGGAGCCAUUUUUAGUGUGAUGGUUGGAAAGUUUUUUCGGUGUAGGAUGAGCUCGCGGCCUAUCAGCUUGUUGGUGGGGUAAUGGCCUACCAAGGCGGCGACGGGUAGCCGGCCUGAGAGGGUGGACGGCCACAUUGGGACUGAGAUACGGCCCAGACUCCUACGGGAGGCAGCAGUGGGGAAUAUUGCACAAUGGGCGCAAGCCUGAUGCAGCGACGCCGCGUGGGGGAUGACGGCCUUCGGGUUGUAAACUCCUUUCGCUAGGGACGAAGCUUUUUGUGACGGUACCUAGAUAAGAAGCACCGGCUAACUACGUG